AUGUAUAUGCUCACUUUGGCAGCAAAAUUGGAAGAAUAUAGAGAAGAUCAGCACAGUCCCUGCCUAAAAAUAGCAUGCAAAUUUAUGAAGCAUUCCAUAUUUUA
rnacentral:snRNA from 1 species